AUUGAACGCUGGCGGCAGGCCUAACACAUGCAAGUCGAGCGAGCGGCGGACGGGGGAGUAAUGUGUGGGAAACUGCAUGAAGGAGGGGGAUAACUACUGGAAACGGUAGCUAAUACAGCAUACCAUCAGAAGUGCACAGAUGGGAAUAGCUAGUGGGUGGGGUAAAGGCCAACCUAGGCGACGAGCCCUAGCUGGUCUGAGAGGAUGACCAGCCCCACUGGAACUGAGACACGGUCCAGACUCCUACGGGAGGCAUCAGUGGGGAAUAUUGCACAAUGUGCGCAAGCCUGAUGCAGCCAUGCCGCGUGUGUGAAGAAGGCCUUCGGGUUGUAAAGCACUUUCAGCGGGGAGGCGUUACCCGCAUAAGAAGCACCGGCUAACUCCGUGCCAGCCGCCGCGGUAAUAC
rnacentral:rRNA from 1 species